GAUGAACGCUGGCGGCGUGCCUAAUACAUGCAAGUCGAGCGAACGGACGAGAAGCUUGCUUCUCUGAUGUUAGCGGCGGACGGGUGAGUAACACGUGGAUAACCUACCUAUAAGACUGGGAUAACUUCGGGAAACCGGAGCUAAUACCGGAUAAUAUUUUGAACCGCAUGGUUCAAAAGUGAAAGACGGUCUUGCUGUCACUUAUAGAUGGAUCCGCGCUGCAUUAGCUAGUUGGUAAGGUAACGGCUUACCAAGGCAACGAUGCAUAGCCGACCGGAGAGGGGGAUCGGCCACCCUGGAGCUGAGACACGGUCCAGACUCCUACGGGAGGCAGCAGUAGGGAAUCUUCCGCAAUGGGCGAAAGCCUGACGGAGCAACGCCGCGUGAGUGAUGAAGGUCUUCGGAUCGUAAAACUCUGUUAUUAGGGAAGAACAUAUGUGUAAGUAACUGUGCACAUCUUGACGGUACCUAAUCAGAAAGCCACGGCUAACUACGUG
rnacentral:rRNA from 1 species